ACGCAAAUCACAUGACCAUAUGAACACAUGAAUUGAUUUCUGAACUGAAUCUUUGGUCUUUUGAAUUGAAAGUUUGUGAGAAUUGAUUUCUGAACUUAUGAACACGUGAAGUUGUGGUCUUUUUUAUAAUUUCGUUAGAACUUUCAUCGCUUAUUGUUUUUUUUAAACCACUUGUUGUUGAGCCCAAAAUAAUGUAUGGGUGUGAGUGAGUUAUUAGGAUACCUAAAAUGUCAAUUCAUAAAUUAAUAUUAAGGGGACAUUUGCACCUAACACUUUGAACCAAAAACAAAAAAGAAUGAUGCAC
rnacentral:lncRNA from 1 species